UGGCACGCGGUCGCGUCGCGUUAUGUCCGGCGUCGUAGGCGUGCACUUCUCCCCCAGUAGGACGUCGCGACCCGUUGGGCGUCGGCAAUAAGGCCCGCAAUGGUAGACUGGCGCGUCGCUUUACCGCGCACGUCGUCAGACCUUCGCGGUUGCCCGGCCGGCUGCCCGGCGGUACUCGCACGGUAUAGAGCCGCAAACAACUCGAACUUGCGCCCAGCCCGUCGCAAGCUCGGUCAGCGUUUCCCGGUGGUCGGACCUCGUGCCGUCCCCGGGCCUGGCCAGCUGUUGGCAGACGGUGUCCUCGGGCGGGCUCGCUGUUUAACAAAUAACCGGUCGGCGACCCUAUUGCUUUGGGUACUUUCA
rnacentral:rRNA from 1 species